AUUGAACGCUGGCGGCAUGCCUUACACAUGCAAGUCGAACGGUAACGGGCCUUCGGGUGCCGACGAGUGGCGAACGGGUGAGUAAUGCAUCGGAACGUACCCAUCAGUGGGGAAUAACUCUCCGAAAGGAGGGCUAAUACCGCAUAUUCUGUGCGCAGGAAAGCGGGGGACCGCAAGGCCGCGCGCUGAUGGAGCGGCCGAUGUCAGAUUAGCUAGUUGGUGGGGUAAAGGCCUACCAAGGCGACGACCUGUAGCGGGUCUGAGAGGAUGCUCCGCCACACUGGGACUGAGACACGGCCCAGACUCCUACGGGAGGGAGCAGUGGGGAAUUUUGGACAAUGGGGGCAACCCUGAUCCAGCCAUGCCGCGUGAGUGAAGAAGGCCUUCGGGUUGUAAAGCUCUUUCGGCCGGGAAGAAAUCGCAUCUCCUAAUACGGGGUGUGGAUGACGGUACCGGAAUAAGAAGCACCGGCUAACUACGUGCCAGCAGCCGCCGUAAGAC
rnacentral:rRNA from 1 species